UGGGUUGUGGCUCAGCAGUAGAGUGCUCGCCUAGGAUGCGAGAGGUGCUGGGUUCGAUCCUCAGUACUACAU
rnacentral:tRNA from 1 species